rnacentral:lncRNA from 1 species
AAAAAGUUUUUUUUUUUUUUGGUCUUCUGUUGAUGAGUUUAUUAGUCUAUACUGUUGGAAAAAUUAGUUCUCUUUCGAAAUCUUUAGUCAAAUAUUUGUAUAAACAAUUUUGUUUGAAGACAACUUAGCCACUGUUUUUAGAAACGUUGAUUAAGAACGAAAUAAAUAAAAAAACUAUAGAGAAUAAAGGAUUAGAUGGAGCCUGUGAGUCGAGGCAUGCGAUUGCACUGUCCUAGAAGCAA